UUCCUCCUCCUGAGAGACCUGCCCCCUCUAAUGUUUUAACUUUGAAGAACAGCAAGUGACUUUCUUCGCAAAGAGCAGCAGGAUUUUUCUUAAAGCUCAGAGACCCCUUUACACCGCUGAAGGCUUUCGACGUUACACCGGACUUGGACAGACCCAGGCUGCGCCGGGGCUCACCCAGCGUUUCAGGGCGACACCACCACGAGAUCUAAAGUUGUGUGUGAAUGCAGGCUGCCUGGCUGUUAAAGAAGGAGUCUGCUGUUGACAGAUUUCAAGAGGGGGUAACACAAACACUGUCCUCAGAAGGAAAUUGUCCAAAUAAAAGAGCAUCAGAAAGAGCUGGCACCCGCUGAAAAGCAAUUGAAAAUAAUCUGGAUUUAUUGUUGCAGCACUAAUUGUGUUUCAUGUCUUAUGUCUCAUAUAUUAUAUGUUUGUUGUUUUGUGUCAUUUGUCUCAAUGCUAACAUUAUUGUGUAUUGUUUUAAGAAAAGAAGGGAUACUGUAGUAAGCACACAAAAAAAAUCUAUGACUCUCUAAUCAGAUCUCAUCCUAUCUCUAUCUACCUCCUGCCAAAUUGAAUGUCAAUCUCCAUAGUGUUCCACCUAAAGAGCAGAGAUCCGGCAAUGGCAUGGUUGUUGUGGCAAACUUGCUGGGCUUGGCAAGCUGCUAACGUUAAUUCUGGUACUGUGUAAGUAAAGCAAACGUUAAAGCACGUAGGUGCGAAAAGAAACUGUAAUAAGUAAAAAGGGUGGCUAGCAGGAUGAAAUUAAGUCAUACAUUAUUACAUUAUUAAACCUGAAAUACAAAUAUAAAAUCCUACUCCUACAAUGCCGGACCAUGGAUGUUGCCGGAUCAAAAAAUCCCAGAUUUUAGAGGUGCAACCUGUACUAAGGAAUCUGAGUUCUAAGGGCCAGAAGCUACUCCUGCUAUAUACAUACAGGAUUUUAAAAAAGGAAAACAAGGUGGAAAUGCCUCCAAAGGUUUCUGUGCUAAGUGCUACCAGCACAUGAUUGGCAUUGUGCAAGUGUGUAGGGGUGGGGAAACAUUUGUACAGGUGAUUUCAGUGAGCAUCUGUCUUGAAUCCCACAAUUCCCUCCAAGAACAGCAGAUUUCUGAGAAAUCCAUGCCAGAGCUGAUGCUUCAAAAGCAUCACCUCCCACUACAAUUUCAAACACUCAUACCCAAUUGGAAAAGGCGUGAAGGGGAAAGCACGCACUGCACGACUAUAGGGCAGAAACCCAUGGUAACUCAGCUUGCUGCCAGUAAAUUGCAGAAAAUUGGGGAACGCAUGAAAGGCUGACUCCACAUUAAUGUACACUGGUUUGGAGUCCAGGAAAGGACAAACAUUCAGAUCACUUGUACAUAGGCAGCUAAGUCUUCAAAUUAUGUUGCCCACCAAAGAAAUAUAAUUGUCACCAUAUCUGAGUUGCGGUAUCCUUCUCACAGACAUUGAAUGGAUUGGUGAUUGGUGUUCCAACUAAACCUCUAAUGCAAAAUCUUAACUGUGGUCUCAUGGUUUUAUCUCAGUUAUUGCGAGAGAUCAGCACAUCUGAC